rnacentral:rRNA from 1 species
UACGUAGGGUGCGAGCGUUAAUCGGAAUUACUGGGCGUAAAGUGUGCGCAGGCGGCCGCGCAAGUCGAGUGUGAAAUCCCCGAGCUUAACUUGGGAAUUGCGCUCGAAACUACGUGGCUGGAGUGUGGCAGAGGAAGGUGGAAUUCCUGGUGUAGCAGUGAAAUGCGUAGAUAUCAGGAGGAACACCGAUGGCGAAGGCAGGUCUCUGGGCUGACACUGACGCUCAUGCACGAAAGCGUGGGGAGCAAACAGG